CCCCCCCAAAAAAAAACCUUAACCUCCAUCUCCAUCCACCUUUAUACUCAAGUUUUCAUAUAGUACUUCAGACAAAUUUCAUACUGGCAAAACACAGAGAUAUUGAGUAUAUAAGAGAACAAAUCCGAGACCUUAGUGAGAUGCUUUAAGAUUAUACGUUUUCAGAUUUAAAGCAGACAAUAUUAUUACUAGUGGACGACCGUGUUGUUACACCUUCAUCCAUACAUGUUAUGCGCACAUAAUUAUGUUAUGAAGAGUACACUAAAAUGAAGCUUUUCAAGAAGUUGAUGUUGAAGAAUCUCAGACUUUGGGUAAUAGCAUUCAUGGCGAUUCUAACGCUAUGUCUCUUGGUAUUGCCACUGGUCCUGCCGCCCCUGCCGCCACCGCCACUUUUGCUCCUCUUCAUUCCAGCUUUGCUCUUGGUUUUUCUCAUUUUCUUGGCCUUCUAUCCAUCAUUAGCACCCACAGAUGAGCCCUAGAGACGGAAUUAUGGGGCAGAAGAGAGUUUAUUCGAAUUUUCUUCACUGAAAAAUUUACGUAUAUAAGGUCAAAACUUAUAUGUUGAAUCCCCUAACUCAUAAUUCCUUUUUUUAUUUUAAAUAUCUUUGGUGGGAAUCUUGCUUCAGCUGCUUCUAAUCAAUUAUCAAAUUUCUUUCGCCAAUAGUUUCACGGUUUAUUUUCAAGGGCAUGAAGUACUCAAUUAGCUAGGCUAGAUUAUUUUAAGUUCUUUUCUAGAAUAUGUUGCACCAAUCUAUGAUGCUGAAUACGUUCUCCUACAUAUUCAGUGAAUCUAAUAAGUUUUAGUGGUAAAAGCUUUCCAUUUCUCAAGUAAUAUCCUAUUGCUUUAAGAAAUUUAGGUCAUAAUGCGCAAGAAACCUGCCACCAAACUAAUCAACAAAAGUUAUGGUGAAGCGGUAAAUAAUUAAUCUUUGAUCUUUUCUCAGUUACUUGUAAGAUAUUACCUCCUUUCACGUAGCUUGUAGACGUGUCUAUAUUUACAGCUUUAAAUUAAUUAAGGAUUUAUAUUAACGGCGAUAAAGUUUGAUUUAGAAGGAAGAAAUGGGCAUGCAGCUUGUUAGUAGUCAAGCACGAUUUAGUGAAGUUCAACCACUUCUCACGCUUCCACAAAU
rnacentral:lncRNA from 1 species